UGAGUCACCACAAAGUCACAAACUCUGCAUAAUUAGGCCGAAUAUAAUGCAAAUCACCACACAAGAGGAGGAAAUGGAGUCACAACAAGGAGACAGGGAAACUGUUCGGACAACAGUCGUGAUGCUCUUCUGUUCUGUGUGUUUUUAAUGUAACAACAUUUUACUCCUGAUCUCCUGAAUAUCACACAGGAACCUGUUCUGGAAGAUAAAUGAGAAACUGCUCAUUAGUGACGACGAUGUGAAAUGUCCUCAUCCUCACAGGUCGUUCCAAAACCCAAAGAGGUUCCCAUCCCAUAUCUCCACUAGAGGCCUGAACUGGCUCAACACCAAGCCCAGAUAUGGAUCCUGAUCAGUCUAUGACAGCACUGAACUUCCUCUAGUCUCCAUCUCCAGCACCUUAAAUUAAUCCAGAACAUAGACCACUCCCCAAAACACAUUGAAGACAACAUGGUGGACAGGAAAGUACCCGACAACAGAAAUAAAUAACAGAAACUAAUCCAGAGAAAAGCAGAAUGCAAAAGCGGUGGAGACCCGGUAAGCCUGACGAUUGGGUCGCUUACAGUUGCGACCCCGGUGAUGACUCCUGCGCUCAUCUUCACAACGACGGACGCCUCAACAACAUCAACUGCUCCAACAAGUAUCGCUACAUCUGCCAGAAACACAGCCAGCGCAGUUAAACAGGCUCCGCCCACUGUGACCUGAACAAUGAUCUGAUCCCAGCACAGCAGACUGAUCAGUUCCUGCUCGUCUCCUGUCCAGUUUAUUGAUCAUCUGUAUUCUGUACCACAGAGCUCUUUGUUCAAACUAAUAAAACUCAUCAAUGAGACAAACAGAUAUAAAA